CCGCGAAUCGCCCUUCGGGGUGCCCAGGCGCGAAACCUUUGCAAUACACGAAAGUGUGACAGGGCUAUCCCGAGUGCCAUCCGCUGAGGAAGGCUUUUACCCAGUCUAGAACGCUGGGGGAAUAAGGAGAGGGCAAGUCUGGUGUCAGCCGCCGCGGUAAUACCAGCUCUCCGAGUGGUGUGGAUGUUUAUUGGGCCUAAAGCAUCCGUAGCUGGCUAGGUAAGUCCCUUGUUAAAUCCACCGAAUUAAUCGUUGGAUCGCGGGGGAUACUGCUUGGCUAGGGGACGAGAGAGGCAGACGGUAUUUUCGGGGUAGGGGUGAAAUCCUAUAAUCCCGGGAAGACCACCAGUGGCGAAGGCUGUCUGCUAGAACGCGCCCGACGGUGAGGGAUGAAAGCUGGGGGAGCGAACCGGAUUAGAUACCCGGGUAGUCCCAGCUGUAAACGAUGCAGACUAGGUGUUUGGACGGCCACGUGCCGUUCUAGUGCCGCAGGGAAGCUGUUAAGUCUGCCGCCUGGGGAGUACGAUCGCAAGAUUGAAACUUAAAGGAAUUGGCGGGGGAGCAC
rnacentral:rRNA from 1 species